UGCAGGUUUGCUAGAGCAAGCUUCAGGUCAGACCCCAUUGAUACAAUGUUGCUGGUUUGCUAGAGCAAGCUUCAGGUCAGACCCCGUUGAUACAAUGUUGCAGGUUUGCUAGAGCAAGCUUCAGGUCAGACCCCGUUGAUACAAUGUUGCAGGUUUGCUAGAGCAAGCUUCAGGUCAGACCCCGUUGAUACAAUGUUGCAGGUUUGCUAGAGCAAGCUUCAGGUCAGACCCCGUUGAUACAAUGUUGCAGGUUUGCUAGAGCAAGCUUCAGGUCAGACCCCGUUGAUACCAUGUUGCUGGUUUGCUAGAGCAAGCUUCAGGUCAGACCCCGUUGAUACCAU